AUCCGUUUAAAACCACGACAGUCUGUUUCAUCCGUUUUGACUACCUGAUCAUUCCUGUAUACGGAUGAAACAGACUGUUGUGGUUUUU